rnacentral:rRNA from 1 species
ACGAACGCUGGCGGCGUGCUUAACACAUGCAAGUCGAACGGAAAGGCCCUGCUUGCAGGGUACUCGAGUGGCGAACGGGUGAGUAACACGUGGGUGAUCUGCCCUGCACUUCGGGAUAAGCCUGGGAAACUGGGUCUAAUACCGGAUAUGACCUUCCAUGUAGUGUGGGGGGUGGAAAGAUUUAUCGGUGUGGGAUGAGCCCGCGGCCUAUCAGCUUGUUGGUGGGGUAAUGGCCUACCAAGGCGUCGACGGGUAGCCGGCCUGAGAGGGUGGACGGCCACAUUGGGACUGAGAUACGGCCCAGACUCCUACGGGAGGCAGCAGUGGGGAAUAUUGCACAAUGGGCGGAAGCCUGAUGCAGCGACGCCGCGUGGGGGAUGACGGCCUUCGGGUUGUAAACCUCUUUCGACAGGGACGAAGCUUCGGUGACGGUACCUGUAUAAGAAGCACCGGCUAACUACGU